rnacentral:misc_RNA from 1 species
UAUCCGUUGGUGAACCAGCGGAGGGAUCAUUAAAGAGUAGUAAAACUACCAAACCCUUGUGAAUAUACACGUCACAGAUGAUUAGGUAGGCGGAUUCUGGGCGGGGCUUCUGCCUCUUCUUACGAGGCGCCCGCCGGCGGUAUAUUACUCAUUGUAUUCUGGUCUUUUUGAGUAAAUUUAUAAUUCGUCAAAACUUUUAACAACGGAUCUCUUGGUUCUGGCAUCGAUGAAGAAUGCAGAAGAACGGAAGAGAACACCGUAUGACAUCCCGUCCUCAUU